ensembl:lncRNA
CACCAGUGUAAGUGUCAAAUUGGUCAUAACUUGCUGGGGAUGACUCCAAAUCACGUGCUGUGUUAUUUGAAGGUGGCAAAUUGAAGGUUGUGCAGGAGAAAUCUGGAAAAACAACCAGUGAUCAGGGGAUUUAAGAUAAGCGGAGGUGAGCAGGGUGGAGUUCAUUUCUUUUGUCCUUGGAAGUUGAAUAGCAGAAAGGGACAUUUCAGCUUUUCUUGAUAAAGCAUGCGUAAUCUCAGAGACUAAACUGCUUUUGGGUGAAUUCUGAAUCAAUUCUGAAAGGGGAGAGAAAUUUUCCUGCUGAAGUGGUACAUCUGUUGGAGGACUCAUAGACCCUUAGUAAAGGAAUCCAUUUCAGUGUUAGAUUGCUGAAGAUGCAGG